rnacentral:rRNA from 1 species
UACGUAGGGUGCAAGCGUUGUCCGGAAUUAUUGGGCGUAAAGAGCUCGUAGGCGGUUUGUCGCGUCGGCUGUGAAAACUCGGGGCUCAACCCCGAGCCUGCAGUCGAUACGGGCAAACUAGAGUGUGGUAGGGGAGACUGGAAUUCCUGGUGUAGCGGUGAAAUGCGCAGAUAUCAGGAGGAACACCGGUGGCGAAGGCGGGUCUCUGGGCCGACACUGACGCUGAGGAGCGAAAGCGUGGGGAGCGAACAGG